GAGGGAGAUGCGGGACCAUAGCUGCCGUCGGAGGAGCACAAGUAUUUUCUCGACCACCCCUCUCUCGUGUGCACUCUUUCUUAGCCGAUGGCGCCAAGAGGCAAGAGCUCAAAGGCAGAAGCCCGUGAACUUUGAUCUCAAGUUCAUGGAUAUUCUUCAACUGAGCCACGGUAACAUGUUCCCUUGCUCUCUAGGGAUGUUGCCAUGGUGGACUCAUAGUGCAGCAAACGGUGUGCGUCAGUUCACGUUGGAGAGGAAGAUAUGGACCAAGUUGUGAGAGUUGCAAAAUCUGGAAAAGAUGAGGAGGCAAAUGAACAUCAUCACCAGCUAGGAGAUGGUGAGCGCCACAGGGCACGUACUUCAUGUUCUCUGAUGAGGAGAGUACCCUCGCUGUCAUCCAUCCACGGCUCCGCUCGCCGAUC